GUGUGUUUGGUUUGUAGAUGGCACAACUUUCAAGACACCUCAAUGGAAAAGCUUGUGUGUUGUUGCUUUGGGUCAAACCUCAGUUUGAGCAUUUGAAACAUGAAAACAAACACACCUAUAGAAGUCAAUAAUGUUUAGAUGGGAUAUGGAGUUUUGAACUUAUAAUGUUUUAUGUUGUUUUGAAGUAGACAUUGGAGAACUUUACUUUUAUGCUUUUCCUUUUCUUAGUUGUUCACAAUAUUUUCUUCAGCGCUUAUCCUAUGGUGUUUUUAUGUAUUUAACAGAGGGAUCAUGCCAAAAAGAGAUUGGAUAGUCAUCACUUUGAACCUAAUGGAAGUAGCGGUUUGUAUGGCCAGCAUAGUGUGAAGAAGCUGAAGCCAACAAAACAAUCCCUUGAUAAUUUUGACAAUGUUGCUCCAAUAGCUAAUUCUAUUCCCUCCCCUGCUGCUUCGCAAAUGAGUAACAUGUCCAGUCCAAGUAAAUUUAUUAGAAUCAUUAGUGGUGGACGAGAUAGGGGGAGGAAAGCCAAAGCACUUAAGGUUUCUGUGGGACAGCCUGGUUUUGGAAGUCCUUGGUCACUAUUUGAAGA